AUACGUAGGGGGCGAGCGUUGUCCGGAAUGACUGGGCGUAAAGGGUGUGUAGGCGGAUCGGCAAGUCGGAUGUGUAAUACCCAGGGCUUAACCCGGGUGCUGCAUCCGAAACUAUCGGUCUUGAGUGUCGGAGAGGUAAGUGGAAUUCCUAGUGUAGCGGUGGAAUGCGUAGGUAUUAGGAGGAACAUCAGAGGCGAAGGCGACUUACUGGCCGACAACUGACGCUGAGGCACGAAAGCGUGGGGAGCAAACAGGAUUAGAUACCCUGGUAGUCCACGCUGUAAACGAUGAGUAUUAGGUGUAGGGGACGAUAGUCCUCUGUGCCGGAGCAAACGCAAUAAAUACUCCGCCUGGGGAGUACGGUCACAAGACUAAA
rnacentral:rRNA from 1 species